UACGAAGGGGGCUAGCGUUGUUCGGAAUUACUGGGCGUAAAGCGCGCGCAGGCGGUCUUCCAAGUCAGUGGUGAAAGCCCGGAGCUCAACUCCGGAACUGCCAUUGAAACUGUUAGACUUGAGGACGAGAGAGGUGAGUGGAAUUCCCAGUGUAGAGGUGAAAUUCGUAGAUAUUGGGAAGAACACCGGUGGCGAAGGCGGCUCACUGGCUCGUAUCUGACGCUCAGGCGCGACAGCGUGGGAGUCAAACAGG
rnacentral:rRNA from 1 species